rnacentral:rRNA from 1 species
GAUGAACGCUGGCGGCGUGCUUAACACAUGCAAGUCGAACGAAGCACUUUAACCUGAUUCUUCGGAUGAAGGUUUUUGUGCCUGAGUGGCGGACGGGUGAGUAACGCGUGGGUAACCUGCCUCAUACAGGGGGAUAACAGUUAGAAAUGACUGCUAAUACCGCAUAAGACCACAGAGCCGCAUGGCUCGGUGGGAAAAACUCCGGUGGUAUGAGAUGGACCCGCGUCUGAUUAGGUAGUUGGUGGGGUAACGGCCUACCAAGCCAACGAUCAGUAGCCGACCUGAGAGGGUGACCGGCCACAGUGGGACUGAGACACGGCCCAAACUCCUACGGGAGGCAGCAGUGGGGAAUAUUGCACAAUGGGGGAAACCCUGAUGCAGCGACGCCGCGUGAGCGAAGAAGUAUUUCGGUAUGUAAAGCUCUAUCAGCAGGGAAGAAAAUGACGGUACCUGAAUAAGAAGCACCGGCUAAAUACGUG